AUAAAUUCAUAUUACUGAAUAUCAAUAAAGGUAUGCUCUAAAAAUAAUUUUAUUCUGAUAUUUUUCCAUAGUUUUACAAGCCAGUGACUAGCACAUUCAGCCAAACUGUAUAGCAGGAUUAACAGAUUUAUAUUCGUAUUUUUCUUCUCGUUGUGUGACUGGUGCUGGUGAGAGUAAUACAUGGAGGUCAAGAGGCAAAUGUUCUCCUACGAAUUGCUUGGCCCGUUCAAAAUGAACACAGUAUUUAGAAAAGGAAGAAGUCACUUCAGCAACUUAAUGGUACUCUGAAUAUUUUAUAUCUUCAAAUACUUUAUUUUCACAUAAAUUGAGAGCUCCACAAAAGUAAAACUAUCAAUGCGUGUCGAAUAAGUGGUUAAAAAAUGGACAUCCCGUUUUGUGUAUUGCAGCCAAUGACAGCAAUAGGCUUGUAACGGUUGCGAUUAGUGGACUUUGUUAGAUUUCCUAUUAAAUCUUUUAUUUGUCUUGCUCUUUUAUGGGAGCAGGAGAAGGAGAGGUGUGUAUGGGUUUUUAUGAAACCAGUCAUGUUUCCCUGUUUGCUAAGAUUGCUCCUGCAUCAACAUUUCCAAGCACUUCAUGUUGAGUACUGUAUGUGAUAGGGUUAACAUUCUUCUCCCAUCCCAUAUGUGUGUGUCUGUAUGUGUUUGUGUUUAUGUGAAUGUGAUCUAAAGUACGUAAAAUCUUUUCCAGGAACUAGACCAGAAGAACUAUACAGAGAGCCAUGUCAGGCCUCUGGAAGGUAUGCCGUUUCACAAGGGGGUAGAACUGUCUAGAGGUCACAACACUGAACAUAUCCUCAAGUGAUUUGCUCUUUUAGAAAGUGAGUGCUGUCUGGAAAUCAGCAAAAUCUUCCCUGAGUCUUUUGCCAAACUCUUCUUGAAUUGUACCUAAAGUACCUGAUCUGGCGUAUGUAAGUGUGAUUUUCAUGGUAUGUGCAUCGUGCCAGAAACCCAGGUGAUCUGGGCAGUCCCUCCUCUCCCUUGCAUUGUGACUUGUUAUGUUCCACAGCCUCAGACAAUUUGCACAUUCUCUCCCACCUCACAAAACCCUUUAUCAUCUUCAUGAUGAAUUUUCACUGGAUCUCCUCAGCAAAGAGGUCAAACAAUGGAACCCUGACCUUAUGUAGAUUCAUCAAUCUCUAGUAUCCAGGCAACUUCAAAAAAAUCCAAAUUUCUGCUGACCAUAGUAGUGCAGUUAGCAUGCUGACAUUAGGGAAUUUAUAAAACCUCCUUGCACCUCAGUUUACUCAGGUGCAAGUCUGAUGCCAAUGAUGUGCCUCCCUUCCAAGACUGUUGUAAGGAUUAAAUGAGUAAGCCCAAGGUAAGAUCUGAGAACACUUUCUGAUCAAUAAGUGCCAUCUAGGAUAUCUAACCUAUGCUGUCGAUACUGCCAUAUGAGACUCUGGUGUGGAGUUGGUAGGAGACUGAUAUGGAUUGGCUGUGUCCCACCCAUAUCUCAUCUUGAAUUGUAUUCCCAUUAGGCCACAUGUUGUGGGAGGGACCUGGUGGGAAUAAUUUGAAUAAUGGGGAUGGUUUCCCCCAUACUGUUCUCAUGGUAGUGAACAAGUCUCAUGAGAUCUGAUGGUUUUAUCAGGGGUUUAUGCUUUUGCAUCUUCCUUUUUUUUCUCUUUGCCACUACCAUGUGAGAAAUGCCUUUCACCUCCCACCAUGAUUCUGAGGCCUCCCAGCCAUCUGGAACGGUGAGUCCAAUUAAACCUCUUUUUCUUUCCAGUCCUAGGCAUGCCUUUAACAGCAGUGUGAAAACAAACUAAUACAGUAAAUUGGUACCAGUAGAGUGAGAUGUUGCUGAAAAAAUACUGAAAAAUGUAGAAAUGACUUUGGACUUUGGUAAUAGGCAGAAAUCGGUUUGGAGGGCUCAGAAGAAGAUAGGAAAAUGUGGGAAAGUUUGGAACCUCCUAGAGACUUGUUGAAUGGCUUUUACAGAAAUGCUGACAGUGAUAUGAACAAUAAGGUCCAGGCUGAGGUGGUCUCACAUGGAGAUGAGGAACUUGUUGAGAACUGUAGCAAAGGUGACUCUUGUUAUGUUUUAGCAAAGAGAUUGGUGGCAUUGUGCCCCUGUUGUAAAGAUUUGUGAAACUUUGAACAUGAGAGAGAUGAUUUAGGGUAUCUGGUGGAAGACAUUUCCAAGCAGAAAAACAUUCAGGAGGUGAGUUGGGUGUUGUUAAAAGCAUUCCUUUUAAAACGGGAAACAGAGCAUAAAGGUUUGGAAAAUUUGCAGCCUUAUGAUUCAGUAUAAAAGAAACCCAUUUUUUUAAAGAGAAAUUCAAGCUGACUGCAGAAAUUUCUGUACAUAGCAAGGAGCCAAAUAUUAAUCCCCAAGACAAUGGGGAAAAUGUCUCCAGGUCAUGUCAGAGGUAUUCAUGGCAGCCCCUCCCAUCACAGACUCAGAAUUCUAGAAGGGAAAAAUAGUUUCCUAGGCUGGGCCCAGUGUCCCAAUGCUGUUUGAAGCCUAGGAACUUGGUGCCCUGUGUCCCAGCCAUUCCCACCAUUGGUAAAAGGAACCCAGGUACAGCAGUGCCCAUGAUUUCAGAGGGUGCAAUCCCUAAAUCUUGGCAGUUCCAUGUGGCAUUGAACAUGCAGGUUCACAGAAGUCAAAGAUUGAGCUUUAGGAAACUCCACCUAGAUUUCAGAAGACGUAUGGAAACGCUUGGGUGCCUAGGCAAAAGUUUGCUGUAAGGGUGGGGCCCUCAUGGAGAACUUCUGCUAGGGCAGUGCGGAAGGGAAAUAUGGGAUAUGAGCCCCCACACAGAGUAUCUAACUGGGACACCACCUUAGUGGAGCUGUGAAAAGACGGCCACAGUCCUCCCGACAGGGAUUGGUAGAUCCACCCAAAGCUUGUCCUAUGCACCUGGAAAAGCUACAGUCACUCAACGCCAGCCCAUGAAAUCAGCCAAGAGGGCUAUACCCUGCAAAGCCACAGGGGUGAGGCAGAGCUGCCUAACACUAUGGCAACCCACCUCUUACAUCAGUUUGACCUAGAUGCAAGACAUGAAAGCAAAGGAGAUUAUUUUAGAGCUUUAAAUUUGACUACCCUGCCGGAUUUCAGACUCGCACAGGCCCUUUGUUUUGGUCAAUUUCUCACAUUUGAAAUGGCUUUACCCAAUACCUGUACCCCCACUGUAUCUAGGAAGUAACUAGCUUGCUUUUGAUUUUACAGGCUCAUAGGUGGAAGGGACUUGCCUUGACUCAGAUGAGACUUUAGACUAUAGACUUUUGGGUUAAUGCUGAAAUGAGUUAAGACUGUGGAGGAUUGUUGGGAAGGCCUGAUUGGUUUUGAAAUGUGGGAACAUGAGAUUUGAAGGGGCCAGAGGUCGAAUGAUAUAAUUUGGCUCUGUGUACCCAUUCAAACAUCAUCUUGAAAUGUCCUCCCAGAAUUCCCAUAUGUUGUGAGAGGAACCUGGAGGGAGAUGAUUUGAAUUGUGGGGGUGGAUUCUCCGAUACCAUUCUUAUGCUAGUGAAUAAGUCUCAUGAAAUCUGAUGGUUUUAUCAAGAGUGUCCACCUUUGCAUCUUCUUCCUUUUUCUCUUGCUGCCACCAUGUAAGAAGUGCCUUUCACCUCCCGCCGUGAUUCUGAGGCCUCCCCAGCCAUGUGGAACUGCUGGAGUGCAGUAGCACGAUCUCAGCUUACUGUGACUUCCACCUCCUGGGUUCAAGCAAUUCUCCUGCUUCAUUCUCCACAGUAGCUGUGAUUACAGAUAACCAAGCUGAGAAUCAGAAAAGCUAAGAAGCUUGCUCAAGAAUGGAUAAUAAUAAAAGGAAGCUUCGCCAAGGCACUGUAACUCAGAGAUCCCUCAUCUGAACUCCUAAUGAAGUGUAAUAGCUGCCGGUGGUUGACCACUUGCCAAGCCCUAGGUGAAGCAUUUUAUUUGUGUCAUGCCAUUUAAUAAUUGCAACGUCUCUAUCACAAAAGUCCUGUGUGUUCCACAUUUCAUGUGUGAGGAAAUUAAGACUUACGGAUUUUAAGUAACCUGUCCAAAGUUACUUCUAAUCUGUGUCGGAGCUCGUAUUUCAACCCUGUCAGUCGGAUGCCAGACUUGGCACUUGUGCUGGUGUGAUUUCUGCUUUCCUAUGGCACAGACAGCCUCAGCCAAUCACAUGGCACUUUCACAGUUUUCGUUUGACAGAUUUGAGAUGAAUAUCUUGUGAGCAAAUGAACCUCAAUUCAACACAGACAUGUGGAGCACCAAUUGGGUUUUCAGCCGGCUGUGUGCAAGGAUCCACCACGAUGGGGUGGGAGGUGGGAAAAGGAAACCAUUAAAUUUGGUCCCUACCUAGGGAGAAUUUAGAUAUGCAUGUAAGCUGUGGAGAAUUGGACAGGAGAACAUAUGGUGAAGUGGCCAAAUGUGUGAAAAGCAAGCUAUAAAAUAUGUGUUUUAGCUAAAACCGAGAACUGAAAGAAGAGGCUAAAUAGGCUAAAUAGUAUAAAGGAACAUCUUCCAAAAUCAGUGGCAAAGCCACUCUCAGCUCAUAUGGUGACAGACUGGCUGCCUAAUGUCCUAAAAACUCCGUCAUGUAUCCAUUGCACUGGGGGUAUUUAGAAUGCCCUCUCAUUUUAAUAUUUAUUUAGAAGUUAAUUACUGUCACUGUCAGCUCUUUUAUCUCAACAACAUUUCAGAGAAAUGUAUUCAGGCAUUAUGUGACUUGUAAGUAAGAUUAACAAGAAAGUUCACAGACGUGUCAUAAUCAAGGGAUUUGGCUGUUAAUAAAGAACCUACUGAAAAAUGAGUUAACACUACACAGAAUUUGAAUUUGGCUAAAGCAAAUUCUAGAGUUCCAUGUAGUAUUCUUUUUUUUUUUUUGUUUGGAGAUGGAGUUUUGCCCUUUGUUUUGUUGCCCAAGCUGGAGUGCAAUGGUGCGAUCUCAGCUCACCACAACCUCUGCCUCCUGGGUUCGAGGGAUUCUCCAGACUCAGCCUCCUGAGUAGCUGGGAUUACAGGCAUGUGCCACCAUGCUCGGCUAAUUUUGUAUUUUUAAUAGAAACAGGGUUUCUCCAUGUUGGUCAGAUUGGUCUCAAACUCCUGACCUCAGGUGAUCUGUCUGCCUCAACCUCCCAAAGUGCUACGAUUAAGCAUGUCAUCUAAACCUAGAAUAAAAAUUAAAGACCAAUGACUACAGUCAUGUGCAAAAUGGGCAAUGUGACUAUCUAGCUCUGAGGAAUAUUCUAGGCUCAAAAGCCUCACUUUUACCCUGUAUUAUUUAAAUCUUUAAAUAAACACAAAUAUGCUUUCAGGUGGGCUUCAUUGGAUGUAAUACCUGCAUUAUGCCAGUGCACUCCCACACAGACACACAUAACUGAUGAGUUGAUAGAGUCUGUUACCCCUGCUUUACAGAUGGCUAAAGGGAUUAAGCAAAUAUCAUUGCUGCAGCAUGAAGCUGAGCCUUUGUAUUCACUUAUAAAGUUAGGGAAGUCACUGAAGAGAAAGAUAAAUCAUGCAACUGGAAUGGAGAAGAAAAGCUCCAAUUAUAGUUCCAGAAUUGGCUGCCACCUUUAGUGUUAACAGAGUGUGCACGUUUCUCAGAAGUGACACCUGCAUUGUCUAUUGGGAAACAUUUAAUCCCUGGCGCUGUAUUAAAGAGGCUGGUGAACAUACAACUGAAUAGAAAUGAUGUCAGUUCCUUCUGAGAUAGAAGCAGCUUCAAGCUUUACUAAUUGAAGUAGGAGCAUAUCAGAGAGUUCUGUGGACCUCUCCUAAUUUGAUUCCACUUGCAGUGUACCAUUCUGCCCUACAGAAUACCUGGAAAUUGAAUAAACAUAUGACUAUUUGAAUGUAGAUGUAGUUCUGAUGUUCCUACUGCCCUCUGCAUAAGCUUUUAUCUAGGAUUUGAUUAGCCGUGUCCCUCCUGCUAAAAGAAAAGGUUUUUGUUUCAUUUACUGUAAUAUCACUGAUGACUAAAGUGUGCUAUGCAUAUGGUUGGCUCCUAAGGAAUGAUCGGGGAGGGUAUUUACAAAAACAACUCUUUUAUCUUGGGGUCACUUCCCCAAAAGCCUCACGUAUCAACAGCAGAGCCAAGAAUCAGAGAGAAAAGACAAAGCUCUUCUGAACAGUCAGAAUGGUUGUAACCCUGAGGUCUGUGCAUUAAAAUCUGUGCUUUAUCCAAAGGAAAUACUCUUGAGUGUUCAUCUUACAUCUAUUUUUUAAUCUGUAUUUUUGUCUUCAGUAGUUGUCACUGGAAUACAGUUAGUGCUCAGUAAACGAGCGUUGCAUCAAGAAAGCACAUUGUGCACAUUGAGGUUUCUGAUCUGAAAAAUGUGAAUGCGCUUAAUGCUUGGGCACUUAAAGCACACGUUUUGGUUAUCUGACAAAGAUGCUCAUGGUGGGAAUUGACUCUCUUGUGAUUCCAGAAAUA